AAGGGCCUCUGCCUGAAAUGCUUGUAUUUUUCAGAAAGCCUUGUUACAACCUGCCAUAACAAAAUUCCGCAGACUGGGUGGCUUACUUCUUCGUGGUUCUGGAGGCCGGAAGUCCAAGACCAAGGUCAUCGCAGAGUCACCAAGAAAGCGAGGCUGGAGCUCCACUCUCUCUGUGGGUUUGUCGUCACGCAGUGCAGCUUUCUCACAGAGUGGAUCAAAGACUCACCACACUUUAAAAAAAGGAAGAAGAAAGAAGAAGAAGAAGGAGAAGGAGAAGGGGAAGGACAAAAAUUUCAGAUAAGUUGACUCCUGGGGGCUGGCGCAGCUCCACGGGACGCCCUCCACAGCUGGUGGCCUCGGCUUCUCCUGAAAAAUGCUUCAUUCACUCCGGCAGCUGUGCCCUCGGGGGCUGCCACGUGCCUGAAACUGAGGCAUGGAGAGCCCAUCUCUGCAGCAGAACCAGCAGCAGUGGGUACAGGAGAGCCAGUGACACUCAGGCCCGGGACCACGCCAGCCUCGCCAGGCAGAGACGGAGCACAGAGCCCAGGUGACCUGCACACUCAGGUCACAGAAACAACUGAAGCCCAGGCCCCCAGGCUCAGGCCGGAGACCCCAGCGCUGGCCUUGCUGUUGCAGGAGUGGGUGGGCUUCUUUUCUCCCUGCUGUGCCACACCAGACUCACUGCCCACCGGGGCUUUCGCCGGAGAGAGAAAAUACUGAGGUAAACGAGGCCUGCUUGGGCUGUUGAGGUCCCUGAAAGUCCGUGGCUGUAAACUCGUUCAGCAGUUACAACACAGAGCUUGUGGAACAUGAGGGAAGCCCCUGGGAGUUGAUCGAAACAUGUAUAAGGAGAGAGUGUAAUAAUUAAUGGUAAUAAAAUCAUAAUAAUGCCACUUACCACGCACCAGGCACUGUCCUAGGACUCUGCGUAUAUUAACUCAUUUCAUUCUCACAAUAAACU
rnacentral:lncRNA from 10 species